UUCCGGUUGAUCCCGCCGGACCUGACUGCUAUCGGAUUGAUACUAAGCCAUGCGAGUCAUUGUAGUAAUACAAGGCAGACGGCUCAGUAACGCGUAGUCAACCUACCCUAUGGACGGGAAUAACCUCGGGAAACUGAGUAUAAUGCCCGAUAGAACACUAUACCUGGAAUGGUUUGUGUUCCAAAUGAUUUAUCGCCGUAGGAUGGGACUGCGGCCUAUCAGUUUGUUGGUGAGGUAAUGGCCCGCCAAGACUAUUACAGGUACGGGCUCUGAGAGGAGUAGCCCGGAGAUGGGUACUGAGACACGGACCCAGGCCCUAUGGGGCGCAGCAGGCGAGAAAACUUUGCAAUGUGCGAAAGCACGACAAGGUUAAUCCGAGUGGUUUGUGCUAAACGAACCUUUUGACAGUCCUAGAAACACUGUUGAAUAAGGGGUGGGCAAGUUCUGGUGUCAGCCGCCGCGGUAAAACCAGCACCUCAAGUGGUCAGGAUGAUUAUUGGGCCUAAAGCAUCCGUAGCCGGCUCUGUAAGUUUUCGGUUGAAUCUGUACGCUCAACGUACAGGCUGCCGGGAAUACUGCAGGGCUAGGGAGUGGGAGAGGUAGACGGUACUCGGUAGGAAGGGGUAAAAUCCUUUGAUCUAUUGAUGACCACCUGUGGCGAAGGCGGUCUACCAGAACACGUCCGACGGUGAGGGAUGAAAGCUGGGGGAGCAAACCGGAUUAGAUACCCGGGUAGUCCCAGCUGUAAACUAUGCAAACUCAGUGAUGCAUUGGCUUGUGGCCAAUGCAGUGCUGCAGGGAAGCCGUUAAGUUUGCCGCCUGGGAAGUACGUACGCAAGUAUGAAACUUAAAGGAAUUGGCGGGGGAGCACCACAAGGGGUGAAGCCUGCGGUUCAAUUGGAUUCAACGCCGGA
rnacentral:rRNA from 1 species